AAAUGUAAGCUAUUUUCGUAAUUUUUGUAUAAUGAUUACAUGUGAAAUGAUAAUAGCUUAUAUAAUAUUGGGUUAAAGAAAGCAUUAGAAUUAAUUUCAUCUGUCUCUUUUCACCUCUUAUAAUGUGGUUACUAAAAAAUUUUAAAUUACAUAUGUGAGUGUUGUAUAAAAAAGAGAAGGUUAGCAUUCCCCGUGACAAGGAUGGAAGAGGCCUGUACAACACUCAUGUAACUUCGGCAUUGCCACCUUCUUUGUGGCAUCUAACCAUGGUUUUGAGGAUGGAAAAUGAUUGUGUAUUGGUACGGGGUUUCCUUUGUGAUGAUUAAAAUGUUCUGGAACUAGAUAGUGGUGUCAGUUAUACAAUAUUGUGAAUGCACUACAUGCCGCUAAUAGUAAUUGUUAUGUAUCUUUUACUGCAAUAAAAGAUUACGUGUGUCUCACAUUA
rnacentral:lncRNA from 1 species